GGGCGAAUAGCUCAGCGGGAGAGCGCCGCCCUUACAAGGCGGAUGUCGUAGGUUCAAUCCCUACUUCGCCCA
rnacentral:tRNA from 1 species